CCUACGGGUGGCAGCAGUGAGGAAUAUUGGUCAAUGGACGAGAGUCUGAACCAGCCAAGUCGCGUGCAGGAUGACUGCCCUACGGGUUGUAAACUCCUUUUAUAUGGGAAUAAAAUCUUCCACGAGUGGCUUUCCGUAUGUACCUUAUGAAUAAGGAUCGGCUAACUCCGUGCCAGCAGCCGCGGUAAUACGGAGGAUGCGAGCGUUAUCCGGAUUUAUUGGGUUUAAAGGGAGCGUAGGUGGAUUGUUAAGUCAGUUGUGAAAGUUUGCGGCUCAACCGUAACAUUGCAGUUGAAACUGGCAGUCUUGAGAACAGUAGAGGUGUGCGGAAUGCGUGGUGUAGCGGUGAAAUGCUUAGAUAUCACGAAGAACUCCGAUUGCGAAGGCAGUUCACUGGCCUGCAACUGACACUGAGGCUCGAAAGUGUGGGUAUCGAACAGGAUUAGAUACCCCAGUAGUC
rnacentral:rRNA from 1 species